UACAGAGGUGGCAAGCGUUGUUCGGAAUUACUGGGCGUAAAGGGCGCGUAGGCGGCCUUCUAAGUCAGACGUGAAAUCCCCCGGCUUAACCUGGGAACUGCGUCUGAUACUGGGGGGCUUGAGUAUGGGAGAGGGAUGUAGAAUUCCAGGUGUAGCGGUGAAAUGCGUAGAUAUCUGGAGGAAAACCGGUGGCGAAGGCGGCAUCCUGGACCAUAACUGACGCUGAGGCGCGAAAGCUAGGGGAGCAAACGGG
rnacentral:rRNA from 1 species